GAUGAACGCUAGCUACAGGCUUAACACAUGCAAGUCGAGGGACCGGCGCACGGGUGAGUAACACGUAUCCAACCUGCCCUUUACUCGGGGAUAGCCUUUCGAAAGAAAGAUUAAUACACGAUAGAAAGGAUGGGGAUGCGUUCCAUUAGGUUCUUUGUGAGGUAACGGCUCACCAAGACUUCGAUGGAUAGGGGUUCUGAGAGGAAGGUCACACACAUUGGAACUGCGACACGGUCCAAACUCCUACGGGAGGGAGCAGUGAGGAAUAUUGGUAAAUGGGCGCUAGCCUGAACCAGCCAAUUAGCGUGAAGGAGGAAGGCUUAUGGGUCGUAAACUUCUUUUAUAUAAGAAUAUGUAUUAUAUGAAUAAGGAUCGGCUAACGCCGUGCCAGCAGCCGCGGUAAUUC
rnacentral:rRNA from 1 species